GGAAACUAUUUUAACAAGCUCACUAGGUGGUUCUUAUGAAUGUUAGAGUUUGCGAACCACAGUUCUCACCCAGGUGGAGUUUAGCUCCCUUUACAGGAAGUUUCGUGUGAAACUUAGCUUCCUUUGGGCUGUUCCUGCCUGAGAAAUAUGGUAGGAGCAGCAAGAAAUUUUCCCAGCCACUAAUGCCUAAAGUAUUUGUUCACUGAAGCUCUGCAUGUUUUAAGUGAUGGAAAGACUCAUCUAAUCCCCAUGUUGGGUGCACCUGCUUAGAUCUGUAAGUUCCAAAAGUCUGUACAGCCUGUGUAUGCUGAGGUUGCAGAGGUGUGGGGUUGCUGAGGGCCUGUGACAUGGGUCUCAUUAAACUGCUGUAUCUUAAAGCAGUCAAGGACCUAGAAACCCUGUGCUUACUAAGGUGCUGACGCCUCCUAUCCCAGCCACACCUGAAGCGCCCUUUUCUCUGGAUGUAUCUUAAAUCUUCAAAGCCCUAUCUUUGUGCCUGUUCCUUAAGCUUUCCUGGUUUGUGGACCGUGUGUGGUGGCUGGGGGUGAGGAGGAAACAAAUCAAACCCCCCUCCUCUGAGUUCAGAACCAACAGAGAAGUAGGAUCAGGACAUCACUAGGGAUCAAUGCAUCAAUUUUACUGCUGAUAAAGUUGAAUUGGAAAAUGCAGCUGGGAAUCCAGCCACCGUGGAGCUUCCUCACACCUUCCUCCGGGAUUGAACCUCCCCACCCUAAAUGCCGGCUUCCUGCUCUGCCGGGGAGGUUGCCAGAUGCUGCGUUGUCACUAGAGCUAGUGCAGCCUUUCCCCAACCUCCCAAUCAGCUCGUUUACUUGGUCUUUGGCGAAGAAGACCUAGGAGAGGUGCUUUGGUACCAUACCUUCCUGAGUGGGUGUGAGGAUGGAGGAAUAAGUUUUUCUCCGGCUGUGGGAACAACAUUUGAGGUUAUUGACAUCAAAGAAAGAGUCUAGAAUGGGAAGAGGGGAAAGUCAGGACUAAGGCUUGAGGAAGGCUCACCGUAAAUGUGGUUUCAAGGAGGAAGCCCCAGCCAAAGAAACUGAGAGGAGAGACCAGAGAAAGGAGGAGGACCAGGAGCCUGUGGUGUCAGAGGCUGGGUGAAGAGCAUUUUCAGGCCAGCACUGCUCCAGGUGCAGGAGAAAUUGGAAUGAACUGAAAUGACAAAAACCCUGCCCCCAUGCCCUGUACACUCUACUGGGGAAAACAAGCAAUAAACAAGCCCUGUGAUGCAGAACUCAGGCCUCUAUGGACCGCUUGUCCAGAUCUAAAGGUGUUUCCUGAGGGCCGAAUUGGCCUCGUAUGCAGGUUCCUCUGCAGACCACAGCAACGCACAGAAGAUGUGGCACUGCCUCCUGGCACGCACACAGGGCCGGCUCCCCCAGCUACACAUCAAACACCAACUCUGCUGCCCAUGCCGGAUGCCAAGUGAGAUAAUAUGUCCUUGCCUCCUGCUUUCCUGAGAUGAGUAACAAAAUAAUCCUAGCUGCUAUCAUUCAUGCGGUAGCCACAAGCUCUAAGCUGGUGCAGAAUAUACUCUUCAUCUGCAAAGUGAGUACUAACAAUAACCCUGCUUUGCAGAUGAUGAAACCAGAGCUUUAAAGAAGCCUCUAACCUAUUACAACUCAUGGUACAGGCAUUUGGUCCCGGGACUACCCAUCUCCAGUAUGAAAUCCCUGUAUUUCUCUCUUUUCCUCUGAAAAUCUGUCUCUGUCUUGAUCCCUGGUCUUGGAGGAAGAAAAGUUCUUUCAAUGCAAAGUUUCCUCCUCCAUCUUGAGCUUGGUUUCCUCCUGUCUCCCACUGCACCUCCCUACAUUAACUGUCCCCUCCCUCUCUCAUAUAGAUCAGCCUCUCCUCCCCACUGCCUCUUCCCUACAAAUGCAUUUGGUCUGCCCGCCUUCACCAAUCACUCCUGCUUCAUCUGCCUCCUUGCUUCACUGUCAGCUUGUCAAAAGGAAGGGUGUUUCAGUUUGGCCACCUCUUCUGUUCCCUCAUGCACUCCUUGGCUGUCCAGUCACCUACUUGGUGAGCAAAGCCUUGGUCCCUUCCCUGACACUGUGUGUCUUGGGUCCCUUCUCUUCCCUCCUGGGUGGGCACCAUGUCAUCUCCUACCCUUUUGUUUCUCAGUGCCUGGGACAGUGCCCUGAAUAGCAAGGGCGAUGGUGAUGACCUCACAUUCAGAACUGGUCAAAAAUCAAGACAAACACUUCCCAGGGGCAGGGAGCUAGCUGAGGUGGGGCUCCCAGGGAAAUUCCUUUGGGCUGGAGUUCUGUUCAGCAGAAUGACGACACACUAUUGCCAUUUUUAGAGCAGUGAUUACCAAAUGGAAAUACCCUAUUUCACCAGAGACUGAGAUCCGAAGUCACUCGCUUCAUAGCUAAAUGUCAUUUACCUCUUCACUGUAACUGAGGCGCUGAGAAACAAGCACAUGACUACAUGCUAGGGGAUUCAAUUCCUGUUUUUCCUUCCUGUUUGUCCUCUGUUAAAAUAAAAAAAGAAUUACCUAAAAGAAACUUCUUGGUAUUGUUAUCCUGAGAGUGUAUUACUACCACAUAUAUGGAGAUAAUGUUAAAUGAAACAAUAAAUAGUUUUUCAGUUGUUGGU
rnacentral:lncRNA from 1 species